UGGCGAACCCACCACCAGAACAAAGCAGAGACUGGUCGUAAUCACAUAUGAAUUCACAUUUCUAUGUGACUGAUUACUCAUGUCACGGAUUUAGCAGUUAGCCUAAUAUAAUAAACUAAAUGCCUACAAUAAAACGAGGCCGCGUAUAAUGUACUCUCCACAACACAACAGGCUAUCAGUUCAAUCAAACAUUUUGUUUUACAGACAUCGUUAUAUAGACUGGUAGGCCUAUCAGGUAAUGUAUCUCUGGGCUCAGCAGUGCGGAAAUUGCGUUUUCUCUGUCCAUCGGGAUCUGUGGGCAGCUGAAGUGAGCCUGACAUACGCACAGUUGCUUCACCCUUGCCGGCUUGGUAGCGAGGUUCAUCCCAACUGACACAAGCCAAAGUUGCCUACGGGUUACAUCUGUAACAGGAAACCGAUGCUGCCGUAAAGGAAGAAGAAGAAGAAGAAUGGCGACCGUGACAUCUGAAGAUGUUCAAGGGAUUCUCAGACAGGACAUGAUUUACAGGCUGAUAGCAAAAUUAGAGUCAGCUCUUUCAGCAACACCUCUUGACUUGGACUUCCUAAGAUUUACAUGUCGGCAAGAGUUGUACCUCUGGGAUGCACUGUCAAGGCAUGUAACCGUCCCCCCAGAAAUUGUGCACGCCUUGCACGAGUUAUACAGACUGGUGAUGGACCAAAUUGAAUAUGCUGAUGUUACUGAAACUGUUGAAACUGUAGCUGGAGAUAGGGGGCGUCCCAGGUACAUUAGGAGAGAUUGGCUGAAUUUUUGGAGAUGUCCCGAGCUCGUCAGUCAACUAGUAAGGUCUACCCAGGAAACUAGAGUAAACAACGGAACGUUACAGAAACACACGUAGCACUGCUCUCUCUCAUUAACGGAGUUUAUCCACACUCAGUGUUGUGUGGUAAUGAGUUGGUGGAUGUUGCAAAGCAUGUGUACUUUGAGCAUAAUAGAGGCCAAACUCGCUAGCCUGGUUCCAGACCAUAGACCCCGCCCACUCAACUGAGUAGGCUUGCAUUACUGGUCUGGCAUACUUCAAUGAAUUUGCCAAUGAACGCUGGGGGUCUAGCGAUUAGCCAAUCAGCGCCACGCUGAUGUCAAGCUGUACACCGGUGGGUAACUGGUGAGGACAGCAACAAUGGCGACCGCUACAGAUCCUACAGACCACAUUAACGAUGCUAUCGAGGUAUUUCGCCACUACUCGCGUUAAUGGAGGACCAAAUUAAGGAAGCUGCUAAACUGGAUUUAACGGCGAUGCGGCUGGGCGUGCACGACGACGGAGACAUUUUAAACGGGCAAUGCUCGCUUGUUUUCGGCACUCCUGAGGCAUGGAUACUAAUGACGUCAGAUUCUGGCACUCGUGGACCUGGAGCUGUGGAGCGUUAUAUGGAAAAUGACCGGAAUUCUCCUUUAAGGUGAUGUGCUUGAAUGCUGCAACAAACAAUUGUGCAUCAACAGCAUUUGCUGCUUUCAAAAAAGCAACCAAGACACAUGGCAUACCAUCAAGGGUCAGAGGUGAUCAGGGAGUGGAGAACAUUGAAAUAGCCCGAUACAUGUUCAACGUCCGGAGUUGAUCGAGGAAGCUUCAUGUCAGGGAAAAGUGUCCAUAAUCAAAGAAGAUCUUUUCGCAGUCCAUCUAACAUUCCUUCCCAAACUGAAGGCAGACCUGGAGGCUUUUGUGGAAGGCUGGAACAACCACCCACUCAGAUCAGAAGGGAGUAAAACUCCAGAGCAAAUCUGGAGGGUAGGAAUGAUGCUUCGACCGAUUGACCAGCCGGAGAAUCUUGAGGAUAUUCAAGAGCCAGACGUUGACUGGGAUGCUGCAGCUGAUUAUGGAGAGGAUGUGGAUGGUGUGCUAGUUGUCCCCGAAUUUGACUGUCCACUUAAUGAACAGCAGCUAUCAGAGGUUCAGAUGCUGAUUGAACAAA